UACGAAGGGGGCUAGCGUUGUUCGGAAUUACUGGGUGUAAAGCGCACGUAGGCGGAUAUUUAAGUCAGGGGUGAAAUCCCAGAGCUCAACUCUGGAACUGCCUUUGAUACUGGGUAUCUCGAGUAUGGAAGAGGUGAGUGGAAUUCCGAGUGUAGAGGUGAAAUUCGUAGAUAUUGGGAAGAACACCAGUGGCGAAGGCGGCUAACUGGUCCAGCACUGACGCUGAGGUGCGAAAGCGUGGGGAGCAAACAGG
rnacentral:rRNA from 1 species